UGGGUCACAUGUCAAUGCAAGUUGGAUGGGU
rnacentral:piRNA from 1 species